rnacentral:rRNA from 1 species
CAGUUCAGACUGCAGGCNGCAACUCGCCUGCACGAAGUCGGAAUUGCUAGUAAUCGUAGGUCAGCAUACUACGGUGAAUACGUUCCCGGGCCUUGUACACACCGCCCGUCAAACCAUGAGAGUUGGCAACACCCGAAGUCGGUAGUCUAACCGCAAGGAGGACGCCGCCGAAGGUAGGAUUGGCGACUGGGGUGAAGUCGUAACAAGGUAGC